GACGAACGCUGGCGGCGUGCUUAACACAUGCAAGUCGAGCGGAAAGGCCCUUUCGGGGGUACUCGAGCGGCGAACGGGUGAGUAACACGUGAGUAAUCUGCCCCUGGCUUUGGGAUAGCCACCGGAAACGGUGAUUAAUACCGGAUAUGACCACUUUGCGCAUGCGUUGUGGUGGAAAGUUUUUCGGCCAGGGAUGUGCUCGCGGCCUAUCAGCUUGAUGGUGAGGUAAUGGCUCACCAUGGCUUCGACGGGUAGCCGGCCUGAGAGGGUGACCGGCCACACUGGGACUGAGACACGGCCCAGACUCCUACGGGAGGCAGCAGUGGGGAAUAUUGGACAAUGGGCGGAAGCCUGAUCCAGCAACGCCGCGUGAGGGAUGACGGCCUUCGGGUUGUAAACCUCUUUCAGUACCGACGAAGCGCAAGUGACGGUAGGUACAGAAGAAGCACCGGCCAACUACGUGCCAGCCGCCGCAGUAAAAC
rnacentral:rRNA from 1 species